CCUAAAUCCAUCUCCGCCUCUCCAUCACCGCCUCUUCUUCCCCUUUCACUGAAAUCCUAACACAGUAGAGUUGUUUCUCUCGAUUUACUUUUCUUCAAAUCUCUUUUUGUAAUUGUAUGAAAUUGUUGUUGUUUUCUCAAAUUCAACAAAACCUCGAAGAACCCUAGAAUACAAAUAUCCAGUUUUUUUCUCAAUAAUUAAGUUCAAAAUCAAAGUUAAGAAAUCGAAGACAAAUAUCUAUUCUAGAAGUUCACUGUCACAAAUCAUAGCUUCAUUAAAACCCUAUCUCAAAAUCAAGACGCAUGUAUCAACAGAAAUCAAACGUUGUAACCCGAUCUGGUUUUUCUGCUUUUGAAAUCAUUAGGGUAAAUCAAUCGUGUUCUUGGUUGAUAUUUUUGAUAAAUUUUUUGUGUUACUAAACGAUUUAAUUUCACUUUAUUUUCUCUCGUUUUUAUUGUUGAUGUAAGGUGUUUCCUUUUCUUUUUUACCUACAAAGAACUCCUCGAGUAGUCAAGUGGGUUGAAGAUCUCUUCUCCUACUGUAAGAAAUAAAACCCCUUAAUAUAUUAUUGAAUAUUAUUUUACUGCUGGUAAUAUUAAUCUCGAAAACCCUUUACUCUAUUUGAUUGUUUGAUUUUGUUUUUAGUAUUUGAAAACCUUGAUCUAGUUUUGUUUUACUGAAGCUUUGAGUGCCGAAGAUCGAGCAAAUCUUGUUGGUGAUCUUGUUUUGUAGAUUUGUGUUUCUUGGGUUUUUUUAUUCUGUUUUUGAAUGAAGGGUUCUGAUUUAAUUUUGGGUUUUUGUUGUUGUUGUUGUUGCUUCAGGAUAAGCUAAUGUCAUCACUUCAUGACCAAGUGCUUCACAACGUCAAAAGAGACCAAUGUUUUUUUUUGUUGCUUAUUGUGCAACUACAGUAGGUUCUGUAUUGGCUUGUGAUUCAAUUGUAAUGGUUUAAUGUUUGCUCUUAAAUUAUUACCUAGACUGUAUAUGAUUUUCGAACUCUUUGAGACAUCUUACUAGAAGAAUAGGUGAUUCUAUGCAUGCAGUUUUGCUUACAUAUGGAUGUACAAAAAUGGAAAUGAAGUGGAUAGGUUGGAUAGAGUCUCUUCCAGGGAUGUCGAAGCUAAGUGUGACUAUUUACAGCACCGCGGUAGUUAUAACUGGCUUUACUUGUCUCAACUUCUAGACACAAGGAGUUUCAAUUUUCUUCUUAUUCUUCCAUGGAUUCAAAACCAAGCACAAAGUUUCGAGUGUUAUUCAGUUUCAGGUAACCUAAAAUUAUCAUGUGAUUAACUGGGUCUGGGUAAUUUAUCGAAACCCCAGUCUUCGAAAUCUUAUCAAGUUUCAUGAUUUCGUUAUGAUUUUGAGCAAAAUCCAGAAUUCAAUGUCUACAAAUUAACUGAAAAAACAUCAUAGUGCCUGAGGUAUAUCAUAUGUAUGACUAGAUGGUAUAUCAUAAGAUGAUUCUUUUGUAGUGUAUGUAUAAGUCAUAUAAUGUCGUAUGCUUCUCACUUGCUGGAUCAGGCAGAUGUAUGUGAGGAUCCUUAUUUGCGGAUUGUAUAUAUAAGCUGCCUUGUAAGUGCUUCUUGAAUCUUUAUUAAUGGAUUUAUUCCAUCUAUUUGGCAUAAAUUUUAAGUAACUUGUAGUUGUGGAUUGCAGUAAUACUGUUUACUUGUAUUAAACUAGCCAAUUAAGCCUUUCAAUCACGUAGUUGGCAAAGCUUUUGAAUGGUCAAUCACGAUGAAUUGCAUACAUUUUUGAACAGGUGAAUUAUCAUGAAUGCUUACUUCUCAGUUUGUUUUUCGUUUUAUUUCUUUAAUUUGGUGAUCAAAUGAGUUGAUAUGUAUAUUAAUGAGCCAUUGCUUGCUUAUUUAGGGCUUGAAGAAGAAUGGUUUUCCUAUGCCAAAUGUUGUGGUUUUAAUAAGUAUACGUGAUUAUGGGACUUGUCUAAGGUUAUUCACGGUAAGAAUAGGUAUAUUAGAUGUGGCCUAUAUAACCAACCUUACUACAUCUUGAUCUGUAGCUUGGCUGGCUAAUGCAUCCAGUAGUCUGGUAGACGGUUAUUUUCAGCAACCACUUGAAGAAUUAUAAUGCAAAGCAUGCUAUGUAGAAUGAACCAGAAAGGGGUAAGAGGAGUUGUAGCAACUGUUGAACCAUAACCACAGUUACGACAGUCAAAGCUUGCUGCAAGACAAUCUAGUCAUGGUGGUUAGCUUCAAAUGGGAGCUUUCAAUUAUCCAAUUUCACAUUUCUAUUGGGUACCUUUCUGCAGUUUUAUUUCUCUCAUGUUGAUUAGUAUAGAUGGCACAGUCUUGAGGGUUAAACAUGAAUCUGCAGUUAACCAUCAUUUUUGCUUCUGAUCUGUAGUUCUCUUUUACUGAAGUAAUAUUCCAUUCUGCAUCCUUUAUUUUUUGAGGAAUCUUACAGGCACCUUCAAAUAUGCCAUUUUGACCAAGAUGGAUGUGUUGAUCUUGAGUAAGCUGUAUAGGAGGCCCUAGUUACCUGGAUCCUCCUGUUGAGAAGGAAGUAUUGGAUAUUCUUAUUUGUAUGAAACUCUUUGAAGGAAGGAAUCAUAACAAUUUAUUCUAUGGGUUACUCACUUUGAUUCAUUUGUAUAUUUUUAUUCUCUUGGAACUUCUUAUCUCAUUGUGUAUUAAUUAAGUUAAGCUUGUUUUUACUUGGUUGCAGCUCACAAAGUGUUGGCUCUGAAAAUUGUGCUUGGUUAAAUUUCGUAAUGAAUAAAACAAUUUUUUGGUUGCAAGUAUCGUAAUGAAUAGACCUUUGUGCUUGUUUCCGCAAA